CUUCUCCGCCCCACCUCCUCUACCCUCCCCAUGCCCCACAGCCUCCCGAUGCUCUACCUGGUGGCAAUCCUGCAAAGACUGUUAGUUCCUGCACACUCCACCAAAUAGUGCUCUUCCCUCCUCUUACCUGUAACCUGCUAUCCCUUCCGCACCCCCUCCAAGUCACAGCUUCCGUUCAAUGUGACAAUAGCAUUCCAGUCUGAGCUGGCAGAGUUGGGUGUGUGUGAGGUGUGCUUGUGUGAAUCAAUGUGUGUGCGAUUCCUUUUGUGAAAAUGACUUUGGCCAAAAGCUAAAUGUGUAACAGAAUUUUUGUUGAGCCUAUCUGCAACUACACUAUGAGUACUUAAAUGCCAUUAAUUUACCAAGUACAUAAACUUUACUACUGGAAAUGGCACUACAGUGCAGUAGUUGGCAUAAUGUGCAGUGUUCUUACUGAAAUUUAAAUACCAUGUGCUACAAUUUUUGCUAGCAAAUAGCUAAGACGAAUGAACAUUUGUUGCAACAUGCAGUUCAGUAACUGUAAAAUUAAGAAAAAAAUAAAUUGAAACUUACUGGUAGAUGCAAACGGUUGCUAGUUUGAAACUUGAAUCCAUAAUGUAGGAAGAUUCCAAGAUGAAGUCCUGGUCCACAACACUGUUUUAAUCAGCUAGGAAGUUUCAGAACAGUUCAUAUUCAGCAAUAGAUUGAAAUAGUCAUUCUGAAAAAAUAAAAUUAUUUAAAACACUUUUGCAACUAUGUUCUGAAAUGAAUUGGGUGGGCUGAAGGAGGUGAAUCAAUGAAGAUGCAAUGACAUCAGAGCAGACUGUUCAGAUAUACUGACCUUCAAUGUAACGAAUACAACAGUUGAAAAUUUGUGCCAGCCUGGGACGCAGACCCAGAUAUCCUACAUGUUGCAAGCAGAUGCCUUUUCCAUUAGGCUUAACAUGCUUCUAGGACUGACUGACUUUUAUUGUAACUGAUGUUUCCAUCUGUUGUUUCUGAACGCUAUUGCCAGAGGUGGAAAUAGCACCAUUUGGGGAACAUUCAGUGAAGGACCAUGACUUGUCCUGCCACCAGGGAUUUAACGGUAAUGAAAUGAAUGGACUGAUAGGGAUUAAAUCAGUGAAGAUGCAGUGACAUCAAAUAGUGGGAUAGUUUCAAUAAUACAACCAAUAACCUGUGACUGCCUUUUGUUUCUUUCCUUCUUUCUUUUUUUGGUUGUUAAAUUUUUAACUGAUGAGAAAUUGCCGUAUACUUAACAACAAGCAGUUAACUUUUGUUUUUCAUCUGCAUUGAUUAGUUAACCCCUACAGCAGCAAUUAUUCAUUAUUUUAAAUGAAUGAUUAUUGUUAUUACAUUAGAAUUUAUUGACAUUUAAUAGUUUCCUUUUGAAAUGUAAGCAGUAAUGUUAUCUUGUAUAAUUAAUUAAUAAAUUGUUGUUAUCUGUUGUUUUGAUGCUCUUUAGAACAGAUUCUCCCUCCCUUCUUUGAACACCAUUCCUUUUCAUAUUGUUUCAGUGGCACAUCCAGGAAAGGAUGUUCGCCAGUUUCCCAACUUUCAGGAACUGAUCAGUUGUGUACAUAAAAGGAACUUCAGAUAUAGUCAGUGCCUUCUUUUAAUUGCUGAUAAAUCCUUUGUAAUAUAAUUUUUAACUUUCUCAAGUUACAUUAAUUUCUUUUGAUAUUUGUUCACAUUUAGACUAAUGAAUGAUAAUUAAUUUGGCAAUUUUUUGCACAUUUGUUAAGAUCCAGAAGAUGUGUAUCAACUUCAGAGGAGAGAGUAAAAUUACUUUCUUAAGGUAUCAACUGACUGUAAACUGAACAUAAAAAGUCAUGUAUUCUACCUGGCAGACAAGGCAAGAAUGGUGAAUCAUCCCUUCUGCAGCUGUACAGGCCUGCACUACAUUUUGAUUUCCACAAUAACAAUACUGAUUUAUUCUUUUUGAGUAUUUGUGUGCAAAAAUAUUUUCAGUUACUUAAAGAAUAUUCUCUGAAAACCAAAUUAAAAUUUGUCUUUCACUCACACCAUAAAACAAAGUUCAUAUUUAUUGUCUUAAUCUUG